rnacentral:lncRNA from 1 species
UCAUCAAGGAUCUUCUGUUCUGUUGCUAAGAUCUUCAAGGAUCUUCCAAGAUCUUUAACAAACUUCCAGAGAACGUGCGAGGGAAACUCAACAAUUUUGCCCAAAAUAUGUCUAAGGGGAAAUUACUAACUGUCUGCUCCCAGGAGACCAACCUUUCUCCUUUCUAUAAGGAGGGAGGUAAAUACAAUCUAAAACGAUAUUACAGUUGAAAAAUAUAUCUUGAUAUGUAUUGUAUUAUGUGUGCUCUGGGUUGGGAUUAAACUUUUUCUGGUGUCUCUAUGCCCUCUCAUUGAGGUGUGCGCUGUAUACAUGUAUAGGUUAGGAGAAGAGAAGGGAAGACAAAUUUUAGGACUUAGUCUAGUUUAUGCUUAAUUCAUAAUGAGUGUCUUGAAUGAUAGAGCUUAUGCUUGUUACAAGUAAUUAAGAUGUUUUUCAUGAAAAAACUUACAAAAUUAUUUAGAAAGUUAUUUGCACAACGAGUUUUUCAUAUCCCAGAGAUUCAAUGCUGCCAAGAUACAUGUCUUGACUGGUAAUAAAUUUCUGAUAACAUUUCUAAGGUCGCUAAAGCAUCAAUACGAAAAUUUCCCACACACACUUUGUACACCUAGUAUAUAAGUCAGACAGACUCACAGCUUAUUGAAAAGUAAAAGAUUUUGGUCAUUUCCUCAAACGCGAAAUCUAAUCAAGUAGGAAAAUUCUCCUCCUGUGAGUGUCUCAAAUGCGAAGAUUGUCACAUGGAGCUGCUGACUAAUUGCUCUUUUCAAGACUCUCCUCGACAAACGAACUCUUUCCUUCAUCAACCAUAAUCUCAAGUGUGUGAAUCCAAUUUGGAUGACAAUUUUCUGACAAGCAAUUAUUAUUUUUUUGUCCACGAAAAUGGACUUCAAUUCAUUCUUUGAUUUAACCCAUUCGACAUAUAUCUAAAUAAUGGAAUACCUUACUCCGCGUACGAUCAAGUAAUUUUCCUCUACUUACGAACCGCAGUUUCAUUUAGUAAGCACACAGUUUCAUUUGGUAAGCAUUCCCUUCGAUAUUUAGGUCCUAUUCUGUGGAGUAAGCUGGACAAAAGUGAUAAAACAUGUGAAUCAUUAAGUGAUUUUAGAAACCGAAUGCGUAAUAGGGAUUUGACAUGUAUUCUUGAUGAUGGAUGCAGAGGAUGUUAUCUGUGUAAUAGUUGAUGUCUCAUCAGAGAUAAAAAUAAUAAUUAUAUUUUAUAAUAAUAAUUUUAGCAUUUUUGCAUUGAGCAUCUAGUAUUUUAGCUAACUAUUGUAUUAUAUUUAAUGAAUUGUACUUAGUAAUUAUUUUAUUCUAUCAAUUGUAGGUGUCCCGUAUUAGUAGAGGGCUUGCCCCCUCGGCUAGCUAAUUUUCCUGACACUCAAAUAAAGUUUCUAUCUAUCUAUCUAUCUAUCUAUCUAAUAAUUACAUUGUGAACACAUCGUAAAGCUUAGUCAAGUUCAGAUCAUCGUGUGAGACUAAAGAGAUGCUUUUUUGUUUCUAAUGAUAAGUUUUCUCGGAAUUACAUAGUCUCCGUUUUCAUCUUGUAAUUACUCUAAAAUCUCUUUUGAGAUCAGCGCUUUCAAGUAUCUGAUGCAAUAACACCUCCUUAAAAAACCGUCAGGUCGAAUAACAGUAACCUACACACAAAGUAAAACGCAAGUACUGAGUGAGUAUUGAAUAAUAAACAUUGUCAAACUGA